UUCACAGCAAGGCAGAUGGAUGAACCCAAAGUCAAGUAUACCAAAACUAUAUUGCUCCAGAAAGUUUGACAAAGGAAGCUGGAGGCGUGGGAGAGAAGCGAAGGUAAGAAAGGGUGGAAGGAAGGGUGGACAUGAUUGAUGCAU
rnacentral:lncRNA from 1 species